GUGGUUUGUCGCGUUGUUCGUGAAAUCUCACGGCUUAACUGUGAGCGUGCGGGCGAUACGGGCAGACUUGAGUACUGCAGGGGAGACUGGAAUUCCUGGUGUAGCGGUGGAAUGCGCAGAUAUCAGGAGGAACACCGGUGGCGAAGGCGGGUCUCUGGGCAGUAACUGACGCUGAGGAGCGAAAGCGUGGGGAGCGAACAGGAUUAGAUACCCUGGUAGUCCACGCCGUAAACGGUGGGUACUAGGUGUGGGUUUCCUUCCUUGGGAUCCGUGCCGUAGCUAACGCAUUAAGUACCCCCGCCUGGGGAGUACGGCCGCAAGGCUAAAACUCAAAGAAAUUGACGGGGGCCCGCACAAGCGGCGGAGCAUGUGGAUUAAUUCGAUGCAACGCGAAGAACCUUACCUGGGUUUGACAUGCACAGGACGCCGGCAGAGAUGUCGGUUCCCUUGUGGCCUGUGUGCAGGUGGUGCAUGGCUGUCGUCAGCUCGUGUCGUGAGAUGUUGGGUUAAGUCCCGCAACGAGCGCAACCCUUGUCUCAUGUUGCCAGCGGGUAAUGCCGGGGACUCGUGAGAGACAGCCGGGGUCAACUCGGAGGAAGGUGGGGAUGACGUCAAGUCAUCAUGCCCCUUAUGUCCAGGGCUUCACACAUGCUACAAUGGCCGGUACAAAGGGCUGCGAUGCCGCGAGGUUAAGCGAAUCCUUUUAAAGCCGGUCUCAGUUCGGAUCGGGGUCUGCAACUCGACCCCGUGAAGUCGGAGUC
rnacentral:rRNA from 1 species